rnacentral:lncRNA from 1 species
UGGGCUCAGAGGUUGCAGAAGAGAGAGAGUUUUGAGAGUUAGAAGGUAAUACCUGAGAGGUGGAGUGAAGGUUCAUGCUCGGGGAUCCCAUUGAUUGUAGUGGUAUAAAGGAGACAGGCGGUUCAUUUGGAGGUGCAGCAGGAGAUGCAUCCGGAGAUGACGAUGUCUUUUGUUGCGGUUCUGUUUUGAAUGGAAACUCUGUCUCAAUAAAUUGGACAUGGCGUGAAGUAUAAAGACGACUUGUGUUCA